rnacentral:lncRNA from 1 species
GUUAAGAAAAUGUGCCAAGAUUACCUCAGUAAUUCUGGUCUGUGUUCUCAGGAGACCCUGGAAAUAAACAAUGUGUCUUCUGUGGCUUCAGCGUCACCUAGUGCAGGCUGCCAUUCAACAAACGCAUUGUCAACAGUCAACCAAAAGAAACCCAUUGGCCACCAUACCCUGAGGACUAACCCUGACACAGAUGCCCUUCCAGAUGCCCUCAGUAGUCUAACUGAUUCCAUCGCCCCAGCCUUGGGGGAGAAGCACUGCUGCCUAUGCACUCCAUUUACAGGUGAACUGUCACCCCUACAACUCAGCUUGCAACCAGCCCUGGCCACCACCAGUUUCCCCACACUGAGCUGAAUAUUGGACAUGCCCAUCUUAGACAUUCCAGCCCAUUCUGAAAUUCCACAUCGAUUCACCCGACAAAGUCUGAAGUUCCAGGGCAAUUUAUCUGGAAAAGCUCACCUGGAAUCAUGUGUCAUUUCAACCAACAACUGUUGAAGAGGACGUGGCAUCAAAACCAAGGUUAUCAAUUAUUUAUAAGGGUUGUGUGGUGGUUGGUCCAAGCAUCUCUCCUUCAUGCCAUCACUCCUUUCAAGAGCUGCCUCUAUUUUCUAAUUUAGCACAGGAAUUUAGAUGCCCCUAAAUAAGUAGGCAUCCAGUAUCUGCCCACACCAGUUUUAGUGAGAGUACAUAUGGAGACACUACCACCACCCCUGCUCUCCUACUGCAUACCCCACCAUGCCAAAGCAUGGUGGCUCACACCUGUAAUCCCAGUGCUUUGGGAGGCCAAAGAGGAGGAACACUUGAGGCCAGAAGUAUGAGACCAGCCUGGGCAACAUAGUGAGACCUCAUUUCUAUAAAUAAGUUAAAAAAACAAAAAAAUAGGGCAUAGUGGUGCACAUGUGUGGUCCCAGUUACUCAGCAGGCUGAGGCUGGAAGAUCACUUGAGCCCAGGAGUUUGAGGCUGCAGUGAGCUAGGAUUAUGCCACUGCACUCUAGCCUGGGCAACAGAGAGAGACCCCAUCUCUAAAAAGAGGGAGAAGAAGGAAGGAGGAGGAAGAAGAGGAAGAGGAGGAGGAGAAAUACUGCUCUUUCUCAGGCCCAAGGUAAAAAGGUUUUUGGUCUCAUGUUGACCAGAAAGACAUUGAUAUUUAAUUAAGCAAUAUAAAAAGGCUCAUUGUUAGGAUUAAAGAGUAAGUAAAAUCAAUAUUGAGAUAGGAGGAUGGAGGACACCAACUGAGUUCCGAUCCCAAUGAAGAGGAGAAAAAGCUACAACUAUCUAGGUGAAAUAUCUACUUAUCCUAGAAGAAGCCUUUUGACAGCAACAUAAAAUUCAUACCUAUAGGUUUUUAAUUCCUAUGGAUGCCGUAGCAAAUAACAAAAACUUGGAUGGUGUAAAGUAACAGAUGUUUACUCUUUUCCAGUAUUGGAGACCAGGAAUCUGAGAUCAAGGUGUGGGCAGGGGUGCGCUCCCCCUGGAGGUUCUAGGAGAGGAUCCUUCCUGCCUCUUCCAGCUCCUGGUGGCUCCAGGUGUCCCUGGGCUUGUGGCCACAUCACUACAUUCUCUGCCUCCAUCUCCACGUGACCUUUUCCUCUGUGUCUGUGUCUCCUCUUCUGUCUCUUAGAAGGACACUGGUCAUUGGAUUUAAAGGCCACCUGGGUAAUUUAUAGUGAUCUAAUCUCAAGAAUCUUUCCUUAAUUACAUGCAAAUACUCUUUAUCCAAAUUAGUUUGCAUUCACAAAUUCUGGAGCUUAGUACUUGGACAUAUAUUUUGGGGGGUUGAUGGUUGGAGGGGCUUUUAUUCAACUCAGUACAUCUUAAUAAGGAAUUAAUGCCCCCCAACUUGCCUUACAAGUCAUAUAUUAAAAACAAUGUUGGCCUGGCACAGUGGCUCAUGCCCGUAAUCUCAACACUUUGGGAAGCCAAGGGAGGAGGAUCACUUGAGCCCAGGAGUUGGAGACCAGCCUGGAUAACAAAGGGAGACCCAGUUUCUACAAAAUAUUUAAAAAUUAGCCAGGCAUGAUGGUGCAUGCCUGUGGUCCUAGCUAUUCAGGAAACUGAGGUGGGAGGAUCACUUGAGCCUGGAAGUUCAAGACAGCAGUGAGCUAUGCUCACACCACUGCACUCCAUCCUGGGCAACAGAGCUGGACUCUGUCUCAAAAAACAUAACACUAAAACAUCAAAAUUAAAAAAAAAAAAACAA